rnacentral:rRNA from 1 species
AGUGCUGCAGCAAACGCAUUAAGCACUCCGCCUGGGGAGUACGACCGCAAGGUUGAAACUCAAAGGAAUUGACGGGGGCCCGCACAAGCGGUGGAGCAUGUGGUUUAAUUCGAAGCAACGCGAAGAACCUUACCAGGUCUUGACAUCCUUUGACCACUCUAGAGAUAGAGCUUUCCCUUCGGGGACAAAGUGACAGGUGGUGCAUGGUUGUCGUCAGCUCGUGUCGUGAGAUGUUGGGUUAAGUCCCGCAACGAGCGCAACCCUUAUUGUUAGUUGCCAUCAUUCAGUUGGGCACUCUAGCGAGACUGCCGGUGACAAACCGGAGGAAGGUGGGGAUGACGUCAAAUCAUCAUGCCCCUUAUGACCUGGGCUACACACGUGCUACAAUGGGAAGUACAACGAGUCGCUAGACCGCGAGGUCAUGCAAAUCUCUUAAAGCUUCUCUCAGUUCGGAUUGCAGGCUGCAACUCGCCUGCAUGAAGCCGGAAUCGCUAGUAAUCGCGGAUCAGCACGCCGCGGUGAAUACGUUCCCGGGCCUUGUACACACCGCCCGUCACACCACGAGAGUUUGUAACACCCGAAGUCGGUGAGGUAACCUUUUUGGAGCCAGCCGCCUAAGGUGGGAUAGAUGAUUGGGGUGAAGUCGUAACAAGGUAGCCGUAUCGGAAGGUGCGGCUG